UACGUAGGCAGCGAGCGUUGUUCGGAGUUACUGGGCGUAAAGGGUGUGUAGGCGGUUGCUUAAGUUUGGUGUGAAAUCUCCCGGCUCAACUGGGAGGGUGCGCCGAAUACUGAGUGACUCGAGUGCGGGAGAGGAGAGUGGAAUUCCUGGUGUAGCGGUGAAAUGCGUAGAUAUCAGGAGGAACACCGGUGGUGUAGACGGCUCUCUGGACCGUAACUGACGCUGAGACACGAAAGCGUGGGUAGCAAACGGG
rnacentral:rRNA from 1 species